GAGUACUAUUGUAAUGGCUUGAAAAAUCUCAUGUUUGCCUCUGAUGUUUUCUGUGGCAGUUUCCAUUACCUAGUGUAGUUUUAUAUGCUACACACCAGGAAAAUAAGAGGCUUUUUGGAUUUGUUCUUCGGACAUCUGGAGGGAGAAGUGAAAGUCAUCUGUCAUCUGUCUGCUAUAUAUUUGAAUCAAACAAUGAGGGGGAAAAGAUUUGUGAUUCUGUUGGACUGGCAAAACAGAUAGCUUUACAUGCGGAACUGGAUCGUAGGGCAUCAGAAAAACAAAAAGAAAUAGAGAGAGUAAAAGAGAAGCAACAGAAAGAACUCAGUAAACAAAAACAAAUUGAAAAGGUAUGCAGUCCUAAUAUCUGGAUCUUCUCUGUGAUUUUUGUAAAGAAUUUCCUUAAUUCAGCACUGACUUCAUUCCAAAUGAAGGUUUGUUUCUGCUUGCUCAGCUACUUCAUAACCAGAGGACUCAUAGCAUAGCAGAAAAGGAUGACAUCUGUCUUCUGAUAUGAUGUUUACAUUAUAAUUAUACUGACAUGCCGUUUAGCAAACAUAUCUGAACUUUCAUGUUUCCAUAUUCCAGUGAAGGUUGUCUCUGGCAAAGCAGGUCUUUUGAGAGGCUGUGUCAUAUAGACUUAAUUGCCA